ncrna:Prochlorococcus marinus str. MIT 9301 Glutamine-II riboswitch (downstream peptide RNA)
CAACGUUCAUCCAAUUUAUUUGGACGCAUGAAAUGAGAAUAGGGAACGGGAUUCUCAU